AAUCUGGGCGGCAUCUUGAAGGAGGAAGGCAUAAAAUAGGGCUGUGUGGGAAGGAAGGAAUCCCAAAUGCCAAAACCUCCAGAGUCCCCAGCCCCACCUUCUCGGCCUCUCCCACCCCAAACCCUUGAGGGUCUGCAGCCAACAGGACCUGAGCCUGGGGGCCCGGAACGGGCUCCAGUCCAGAACAGCCCCUGGAAGGAGACCAGCCUGGACCACCCCUAUGAGAAGCCCAGGAAGUCUUCUGAGCCCUGGAGCGAGUCCAGCAGCCCAGCCACCACACCACAGGAUGGGCCCAGUGCCUCCAGCCUGUGGCUUCUGGAGCCUGCCUCCUACCACGUGGUUCCCAUCCGUGGUGUUCCUGGCCAGUGGCAGGGCCGCACCAGUGCCCCAGCCACCCCCGAGAUGCAGGAGAGGAGGGGCCAGUCACAGUCUCUGAGGGUGGAUUCCUUCCGGGCGGGUCCUGAAGGCCGAGGUCGCAGCGCCUUUCCCCGCCGCCGCCCCACUCACUACACGGUGACAGUGCCAGAUUCCUGCUUUCCCGCGACCAAGCCCCCGCUGCCCCACGCCGCCUGCCACUCCUGCU
rnacentral:sRNA from 1 species